GCCGCUCUCCACGCUAGGGGCGGACUGGCAGCCUCUCUGUUACCAGCAGCAGACACCGUCUCCGGGAACUGAGAAGUCGGGGUACUAGAUAGCAUAUUAAUGGUUGUUCAAACGCAGGAAUGUCUCUCUGCCCAGAAAUGAUGAAUCUAUGCUAGAAAGCCCUAUCCAGGAUCCGGAUAUCAGUUCUACUGUACCCAUUUCAGAGGAAGAAGUUAUUACAACAGAUAUGGUCCAGAUGAUUUUUUCUGAUAAUGCUGAUCAGCAGCUAACAGCAACACAGAAAUUUCGAAAGCUACUCUCUAAAGGCAAGAAUUAUUUUCAGUAUGCUUACUUGAUAUUAAAAGAUUUUGUAAUAGUUUUAUUUUAUUUUAUUUUUUAUUUCAAGACACUUUUCUUUGCCAGACAAAAUAAGUCUUAGUUUUUUUACAAAUACAUGUUUCAAAUAACAUCUGUUUUUUAAACAUUUUAUUAUUAAAGUAACACGUGGAUUUUAGAACAAUUGCAAAACAUAA